UACGGGGGGGGCAAGCGUUGUUCGGAAUUACUGGGCGUAAAGGGCGCGUAGGCGGUUUGCUAAGUUGGACGUGAAAACUCUGGGCUUAACCCAGAGCCUGCAUCCAAAACUGGCAAGCUGGAGUAUUGGAGGGGGAAGCGGAAUUCCUGGUGUAGCAGUGAAAUGCGUAGAUAUCAGGAGGAACACCAAUGGCGAAGGCAGCUCGCUGGGACGGUACUGACGCUGAGGCGCGAAAGCGUGGGGAGCAAACAGG
rnacentral:rRNA from 1 species